CUCCUGUAGAAUGAAAAAUAUGAAAACAUUACUUUGGCCUAUUAACCUACUGUAUCAGUUUUAUGUUUCUAUUUUGUUUAUUAUCUUUAUGUUUCUAAUUUUGUUAUCUUUAGAGUGACAUAUUAGCUGUAAACCAUUUUCUCUUUUUCUGUUUCUUGGUCAUGUACCUGUGUAUUGCAGCCUGGUAGUUGGCACGCUGAAUGUGCUGCUGAAGGGUGUCUUGAUUUGGAGGAAGGCUCCUUUCGAGACAUUUCCCAGACUUAAACAUGUGCCACCUUGCCUGGUUGACACUUUUGACAUCUUUUACGUCAUAUGGCCUCUGAGGCAACGAGGUCUCUCCCUCGGAUAUGGAUGAGAACCCUCUCAUCCAUCUUGUCCUCUGCCGCAAAAAGCAAGUUACCUGCUGCAUCUAGCUGGGAGUAGAUGAGAUGCUCUCCUUUGUUCAGGGCCAUCAUCCAAUGCAGAGCGCAGAAUACGGACCUUGGAGACACUCAUAAUUGAACGGCAGUGGUUGGGCUUCACCUACAUAACAGAACAGACACGGACAGGACAACAUCAUAUCUCUCCACACCCAAAUGACUACAGAGGUGAUCGCUGACAAUCAUCACAUCAACAGCACCAUGAAUGGAGCAGGUCAAGAUCACGGAGUUGCUUAGUAUCCACAUCACAGAUGACCCAUCUUGAUCUAUCGACACCACCAACAGAACCUGGCCAAGAAAGUCCAAAAACCUCUGCACUUCCUCCCACAGUUGAGGAAGGCUCAUCUCCCACAAAUCCAUCCUCUUAACUUUCUUUAGGGGAAUCAUAGAGAGCCUCUUCCUUCCACCCCCACCCUCCAAUAACCUAAGGGCAGCUGAUUGACUCUUGCACAAAUACACUGGUAGUUUACACUAUGAUGCUGCUACAUUGGUUUAUUUUUUUAUUUUUAAAUUUGCUAUGAACAUUUGACCCCACUUACACACAUAUUGCACUGCCUUUUGCUACUUGUCAUGUCAUCCACUUGCACUGAAAUACUAUAUUAAUUAGGAAUGAGUCACGAUUUUUAAAUAUUCGAUUAGUUGAUUUUAUUAUAGAAUAUUGAAUGGGAUGUGCGGGAUGAUUGUCUUUAAAAAAAUCCCCAUGUUUUAGUUGUGGUUAUAAGUUGCAAUCCUAAGUUCACAUAAUAUUUUUAUACAUUUUAUAAAUAUAUUCUUAAUAUUUGUUGUUUUUGUUUCUAUGUUUGAGCUUAUAUAUCUCAAUAUUAAUAACAGUCUGGUUAAUUUUGAGUCUUGAAAUGUAAACUCUCAAGGGUUGGCUUUCUAAAUAUAUGUUGGUUAUGUGUAUAUUCAGAAUGACUUCUGAGCAGAUGUCAUGAAUGCAUCACUUGCCAAAAUUGGGGCUGACUAGUAAGGGGUUAAACGUAUAUAAAUGAAACGUUUUAUAUAAAAAUUAUACAUUUGAUACAGAGCUUCACUGUUGUUAGCUGCAUUUUCUAUCUUCUUACGUGCUCUUCUUAUGUGUUCUUUGUUGGUGAAGAGCAUGUAGCAUUCUCUGUGAAAUCCAACAUUAGCCGGCACAUCUUGGACGUCUUCGGAAUUUAAGUUAAAUGCCAAUACGGCUUUUUCAGCUACUGUACUCUCUGUGGUUUGCAGGUUCACCCAUAAAUUUGUACAUUGAACAAUCUUUGCCCAACUUGUCUGGGAAAGGGGGGUUACAGGGCUUUUUACAUUUGAGGCUAAAUGGA